UCCUCCCUCUGGCGGCGUGCUUAACACAUGCAAGUCGAACGGAAAGGCCCUGCUUUUGUGGGGUGCUCGAGUGGCGAACGGGUGAGUAACACGUGAUUAACCUGCCCUUGACUUUGGGAUAACUUCAGGAAACUGGGGCUAAUACCGGAUAGGAGCUCCUGCUGCAUGGUGGUGGUUGUAAAGUUUCGGCGGUUGGGGAUGGACUCUCGGCUUAUCAGCUUGUUGGUGGGGUAGUGGCUUACCAAGGCUUUGACGGGUAGCCGGCCUGAGAGGGUGACCGGCCACAUUGGGACUGCGAUACGGCCCAGACUCCUACGGGAGGCAGCAGUGGGGAAUAUUGCACAAUGGGCGGAAGCCAGAUGCAGCAACGCCGCGUGCGGGAUGACGGCCUUCGGGUUGUAAACCUCUUUCGCCUGUGACGAAGAGUGAGUGACGGUAAUGGGUAAAGAAGCACCGGCUAACUACGUG
rnacentral:rRNA from 1 species